GAUGAACGCUGGCGGCGUGCCUAAUACAUGCAAGUCGAGCGAACGGACGAGAAGCUUGCGUCUUUGAUGUUAGCGGCGGACGGGUGAGUAACACGUGGAUAACCUACCUAUAAGACUGGGAUAAAUUCGGGAAACCGGAGCUAAUACCGGAUAAUAUUUUGAACCGCAUGGUUCAAAAGUGAAAGACGGUCUGGCUGUCACUUAUAGAUGGAUCCGCGCUGCAUUAGCUAGUUGGUAAGGUAACGGCUUACCAAGGCAACGAUGCAUAGCCGACCUGAGAGGGUGAUCGGCCACACUGGAACUGAGACACGGUCCAGACUCCUACGGGAGGCAGCAGUAGGGAAUCUUCCGCAAUGGGCGAAAGCCUGACGGAGCAACGCCGCGUGAGUGAUGAAGGUCUUCGGAUCGUAAAACUCUGUUGUUAGGGAAGAACAUAUGUGUGAGUAACUGUGAACAUCGUGACGGUACCUAAUCAGAAAGCCACGGCUAACUACGUG
rnacentral:rRNA from 1 species